rnacentral:rRNA from 1 species
CCUACGGGGGGCUGCAGUGAGGAAUAUUGGUCAAUGGACGAGAGUCUGAACCAGCCAAGUAGCGUGAAGGAUGACUGCCCUAUGGGUUGUAAACUUCUUUUAUAUGGGAAUAAAAUGUUCCACGUGUGGGAUUUUGUAUGUACCAUAUGAAUAAGGAUCGGCUAACUCCGUGCCAGCAGCCGCGGUAAUACGGAGGAUCCGAGCGUUAUCCGGAUUUAUUGGGUUUACGGGGAGCGUAGGUGGAUUGUUAAGUCAGUUGUGAAAGUUUGCGGCUCAACCGUAAAAUUGCAGUUGAAACUGGCAGUCUUGAGUACAGUAGAGGUGGGCGGAAUUCGUGGUGUAGCGGUGAAAUGCUUAGAUAUCACGAAGAACUCCGAUUGCGAAGGCAGUUCACUGGACUGCAACUGACACUGAGGCUCGAAAGUGUGGGUAUCAAACAGGAUUAGAUACCCGAGUAGUC